AUUGAACGCUGGCGGAAUGCUUUACACAUGCAAGUCGAACGGCAGCACGGACUUCGGUCUGGUGGCGAGUGGCGAACGGGUGAGUAAUACAUCGGAACGUACCCAGUAAUGGGGGAUAACUAUCCGAAAGGAUAGCUAAUACCGCAUACGCCCUACGGGGGAAAGAGGGGGAUCGCAAGACCUCUUGUUAUUGGAGCGGCCGAUGGCUGAUUAGCUAGUUGGUAGGGUAAUGGCCUACCAAGGCAACGAUCAGUAGCGGGUCUUAGAGGACGAUCCGCCACACUGGAACUGAGACACGGUCCAGACUCCUACGGGAGGCAGCAGUGGGGAAUCUUGGACAAUGGGCGCAAGCCUGAUCCAGCAAUGCCGCGUGCGUGAAGAAGGCCUUCGGGUUGUAAAGCGCUUUUGUCAGGGAGCAAAUCCUUGUGGCUAAUACCCACCGGGGAUGAGAGUACCUGAAGAAUAAGGACCGGCUAACUACGUGCCAGCAGCCGCCGUAA
rnacentral:rRNA from 1 species